UGUAACAGCUGAACCCCCAGACAAAUUUUCUCCGAACCAACAUGAUAAGAUACGGGUGUUACUAAUAAGCAGACUUAUGGCAAUGCAUAUGUGUGCAUCCCACAACAUCAAGCUCAUGGAACCCCCAGGCACCCAAUUUUCAACAGGUAAAACUUCAGGAAUUUAUAUUCUGCUUGGCAUAGAGUACCUAGUUGGAAGUUGCCUCGUCCUGCUGCAGAACUGUCUUUAUGUAGUCCACCACAACCGAAGCUAACUCAGCUUGAUGCGAGGUGUAACUAUGAUUAGCUCCUCGCACAAUAUGUAAUUUGUGGUUAGGUAUUAUCUUGGAGAACUCCACUGCAUCAUCCACAGGGACGAUCUCAUCAUCAGAUCCAUGGACCGUCAACACCCUGUACGUACAAUAAACUUGGUCAUGCAUAAACUCACGAAGACAAACCAAUAAAAGAAGACAGGUUUGAUUACAAUUUUCUUACUGGCAUUCUUUGCCAAUCUGAAGGCAUGCUUCAUGCAUAUCAGUACUAAGGUGAUCCAUCAAACUUUCUUCAGUCAUACGAAAAGCAACACCUCCUACAAGCAGUCAAACAGAGAAUCUAAUUGAUGAGUGCCACCAUACACAUUGCUCCUUUUUGUGUGUAUGUAUAUAUGGAUGUGGAUGAUAGUCUUUUGUCUGUCAUGGUUCAAAUUUUGACUCGUAAUUCAUAACUCUAAUAAUCAAUAGUAUUGCUAAGGCAUGCUAUAGUCUUCUAUCUAAGACCAGUGAUCACUAUAGUAUGAAUACAAAGGGAUAAAAUCAGGGUAAGCUGGCUCGUCGUCAUUGGUUGACAAGUGAUCACAGUGAUAUACUCAAGAAGCAUAUGAAUUCUUAGACAUGCUUAGCAUUGUGGAUGAUUUUUGUGUCCACAAACUAACUGAAGACAAACCACAGUAACUGAAAGGUUUAUAUCAAUAUACUUCUCCAUUCCGGCCAUCUCUAGUCUUAGAUAUGAAUGUCUUGAAACACAAGGCAUGAAGAAUUAGAAGUUACCUGUGUUAUUCUUGAUAUCAACGAAGCCUUCCUUCUUGAUCAAUUCCAUAAAGUCUUUCCCCAAGCGUUCUGCAAUGCCUUUCUUCAGAUCAUAACGUCCAGAAACAUUGACAACAGUACGGAUGUCAUGAUACUUGGAAGCAUACAGAAGCACUACAUCACCUCCUGUAACAUUUUAUACCAAAUUUCUUAACACAUACUACAGAAAUACCGUGUUUUUAUAUGGUGGUUAUACCCAAUAUCAACAGCAAUUGAUCUAUCAACAAUAACUUUGGUGACAACUAAGCUGCUAAGACAAUACAGACCUAAAGUUAACGUAUUGUCUAGACAAUGAGUAGUAUUCCAAACUUUCUAUUAGUGAUUUCCUCUAUUCUGAAUCGAAAGAUUUCACAUAUUGAUAAUGGGAACCAACCAAUGCACCUUUGCUGUGCCCCAAAAUUACACUUGCAACACGGCUUGUCCCUGAGAAGUGUUCAACUACAGAAUGUAAGUCAUCAGCUUCUUUCCUAUAGUUACCAUGCUCAAAGAUGCCUUCACUUUCCCUGCAAAACGAAAUUAACACAGCUAAAUCAACAUGAAUGUAACAUAAAGAUCUGAAUUUACCAACGCUGUUCUUCAUCAGAAGAUUGCCAACUAAAUUCGGGGCCUCACUUACAGCUUCAAGAGUUCCAUAAACACAACUUAGUUUCUUCACAGAACCUAAUAAAUUCAAGAGUUUAAACUUAUUAGCACUCACCCAUUUCCAGAAAAAUCAAACCGAAAGGAACUAAUUCCUUCAUUUUCCAAUGCAACAGCAAGGUUCACCAUAAUAGGGUAUUCCUGGAAAUCAAGAAAGACAUGCCGUCACAUUACCCUAAUCAAGUGAUAUAUCCAAAAAUAUAAAUUUCAUGAUAGAAUAUUAGCAUAGUCAUAUACUACAGAGAUAUACCAAAAAUUUUAAAAACUAUAUUUGAAAUCUGAAGAAAAGACCAACCUUGGUGGCUGUAAAACCAUGGCAUAGGAUUACAAUAUCCCCAGAACCAGUGUCAUGUAAUAAGCCCACAAGCUUUUCACCAUGUUUGUUGGUUACAAUGAUUUUCUCCUGCUGGCUCACUGAAACAGUUCACAAUCUCUCAGCACUUUGCACACAAAUAACAAAGAUUCAUACUUCACUAUAAAGGAAACAUAUAUGAAGAAAUUGAUUACCUGGGUUUUGAGCAGCCUCUGCCAUUUACUUCAAGAGCCUCACUUUUGGGUGCGAUUCUGGUGAAGAUCGUAGAUUUUUGGUGAACAGAAGCUAUAUGGAAGUUGAAGAAUUUCAGAGCAGGAGUACUCAAUGAAGCUUACAAGUUACAACUUACAAGUAUAAUCACAAAAGAUAAACCGUCUUCAGUCUUCAGUUCACUAAAGUUUGGUCAAAAGACAAACAGUUUUAGGCCUUUUGGUCAACCAAUAUUCGUCGGCAAAAACCUUUCUUAAGAUGCCCAUCAAUUGCCCAUCAAAGAGGUGCACACAGUUGAAUUAUCACAAAACCUUCCAAGUUCAAGAAGUUUAUAGGAAUUAAACACAGCUAACUUACCCAUUUCCAGAAAAAUCAAAACGGAAGGAACUAAUUCCUUCCUUUUCCAACGCAACAGCAAGGUUCUCAAUAAUAAAAUGGUCCUGGAAAAUCAAGAGACAUAAGCUCAAAAGUAUACACACAAAGAAUGAAUGAGGUACUACAUUAUAGUUUACACGCAAAGUUGUUUCAUCAAUUUUGUGUAUGUAGUGUCAAAUUUCAUGAUAGAAAACAACUUUGCACUGUGAGUCUGUGAUUAAAAAAAUAUGUGAGGAAACAACUCAACUGAGUCAAAUCAUUAACACAUUCCUAAUAACUCUGGAAAAAUUACGCUUUAGAAAGACAAAAGCAAUCACAAAAACCAACCUUUGAGGCUCUAGCUCCAUGGCACAAUAUCACAAUCUCUCUUGAACCGUUCUCAUGUAAUAAGCCGACCAGCUUUUCACCAUGUUUGUUGGUCACAAGGACUUUCUGCUUCUGGCUCACUGAAACAGUCCAGUUCACAAAACCACCAAUUUAGUUUUCUCAAAAAAAUUGCUAACUUGGUGAGAGUGAUCUAGAUUCUAGCCACAGAUAAAAAAGUUCAUAGUUUCAGUUCUUCAGAUUUCUUAUUUUUUAUGCAAAUUGAAAUACGCACAGAUGUGUUUUUAUACAAUGUCAAAUUGCUAAAAUAUGAAUGACAUGAUGAAAUUCUUACCUAGCAUCUGUGCAGCCUCUGCCAUGUUAUUCCAAGAAUCACUUGGUGAAGGGAAAGGAAUCAGCAACAGAGAUAGGUAAAGAAUUUGAGAGCAGCAAGAAGGCAAACGGAAACUACCAGUCUUUGCUUCUCUUCACAGCUGAGUUUGGGUAACCCAAGUUAGUACCGAACCUUUUAUAUAUAAGCUAUAGCCAGCUGCAGACAUAAUGAUUGAAGAUAAUUUGUUGUUCAACACGUGGACAAGCAUGAAUCAAAUUAUUGCCAAAUGUAUGAGCUUGAUAUUUCAUAUAAAAUAGACUACUGGAGAUGAGGGGUUCAGACCCAGGUCGUGAAUUGACUAUUUACAUGAGAUGCAUGCACAGAUUAUUCUAAGAAAUAUCAGAAAUGGCAAAGCUAACUAGUCCCAUUUCCUGUGGGUGAAGGGAACUUUGACAGCGGAAGAGUUAAAUGGGAAGAUCACAAAGCUAACUAGCCUCGAAAGGCAAGGCGAUGGAAGUAUCUAAUGCUAUGCAUUAAGUUUACAGCUCAUCUUAGUUAUAUAAGCUUCUUUUGGAAUGUCUUCAGUUUUAGAGUUAUUUCUGGCAAGGUUUCACUAUAAAAGUUCUAAAUUUGGCUGGUCUUUCUCAUAUAAAUAAUAUGAUAAUAUCUGCUAAGAGUUUCUCUUUGAACAUUUUGAUCCUACUAUUUUAUGCUAGUAUGGCAGACGGAUAGCUCAUCAGCACAUCAGCACAUCUGCAUUUGCACAAGGAUAAGCUCAACGAAGAAGCUGUGCAAGACCAAGAUGGCAUUUGCAUAACCAAGUAAACUUGCCCAGGAAGAAAUUGUUGAAAUGUCAUGUCGAAGAUUUAACUACAAACCAGACUCACUAGUACGAGUGCCAGAUGCGGAAGGCAAUUAUAGAGCAGAGGAGGUAGCUGCAAUAGCUUGGAUAAUAGGCUGGUCGCCGAUGGUUUACAGCAUUGUAUGUUAAAAUGAAGUUUGCACUUUUUCCAGUGAGGAAACUAAUCAAGCAUUUAGAGUUGCAAAACGAUGUCGCAUAUGGACAGAAUAAAGUUCACAACAAUGCAACAACCAUCACUGAACAACUGUUGAGUUAACUUACUGGUUUGCAUCCUCAAGUUCUCGAAUAUUGCAUGAAACAGAUCAUGGCAACGAAAUGGAAAAAUAACUUUCUUGACAGACAAAAAUGUGACAGCUGAACCCCCAGACAAUUUUUUCCGAAUCAACAUGAUAAGAUACGGGUGUUACUAAUGAGCACAGACUUAUGGCAAUACAUAUAUGUGUGCAUCCAACAACAUCAAGCUCAUGGAACCCCCAGGCACCCAAUUUUCAACAGGUAAAACUUCAGGAAUUUAUAUUCUGCUUGGCAUAGAGUACCUAGUUGGAAGUUGCCUUGUCCUGCUGCAGAACUGUCUUUAUGUAGUCCACCACAACUGAAGCUAACUCAGCCUGAUGCGAGGUGUAACAAUGAUUAGCUCCUCGCACAAUAUGUAAUUUGUGGUUAGGUAUUAUCUUGGAGAACUCCACUGCAUCAUCCACAGGGAUGACCUCAUCAUCAGAUCCAUGGACCGUCAACACC
rnacentral:lncRNA from 1 species